rnacentral:rRNA from 1 species
GUACACUCCUACGGGAGGCAGCAGUGGGGAAUUUUGGACAAUGGGCGAAAGCCUGAUCCAGCAAUGCCGCGUGUGUGAAGAAGGCCUUCGGGUUGUAAAGCACUUUUGUCCGGAAAGAAAUCCUUGGCUCUAAUACAGUCGGGGGAUGACGGUACCGGAAGAAUAAGCACCGGCUAACUACGUGCCAGCAGCCGCGGUAAUACGUAGGGUGCGAGCGUUAAUCGGAAUUACUGGGCGUAAAGCGUGCGCAGGCGGUUUGCUAAGACCGAUGUGAAAUCCCCGGGCUCAACCUGGGAACUGCAUUGGUGACUGGCAGGCUAGAGUAUGGCAGAGGGGGGUAGAAUUCCACGUGUAGCAGUGAAAUGCGUAGAGAUGUGGAGGAAUACCGAUGGCGAAGGCAGCCCCCUGGGCCAAUACUGACGCUCAUGCACGAAAGCGUGGGGAGCAAACAGGAUUAGAUACCCUUGUAGUCCCA